rnacentral:tRNA from 1 species
GUGGAUGUAGCUCAGCAGUGCAGCACCUGCCUGGCAAGCACGAGGUCCUGAGUUUGAUUCCCAGUACCCCCC